rnacentral:rRNA from 1 species
GGUUUGUACUGCAGAUAAACCUGCCGACGUAAUAGGCAAUCGAGCGAUAGAGCUUGCUCCUCUGUCGUUAUCGGGGACGGGUGAGUAAGCGUUAUAACUACCUAUAGACUGGGAUAACUCGGACCAAUAAUACGAAUUAUAUUAUCGCAUGGUUCAAUAGUAACGGUUGCGUCACUAUAAUGGAGACGCCGCGCUUAGCUAGUGGUAAGGUACGGCUUACCAAGCAACAAAUGCGUACGACCUGAGAGGGUGUCGCCCGCUGGAACUGAUGGCUCGGUCCAGACUCCUACGGGAGGCACAGUAGGGAAUCUCCCAAUGGCGAAAGCCUGGCGCACAACGUCGCGUGAGUGAUGAAGGUCUUCGGACGUAAAUCUGUUAUUAGGGAAGAACAAAUGUGUAAGUAUCUAUGCACGUCUUUCGGUACCUAUGGACUCGGAAGGGUUUAAAU